rnacentral:snRNA from 1 species
AACGCUUUGGACUUUGGCUAAGAUCAAGUGUAGUAUCUGUUCUUAUCAGUUUAAUAUCUGAUACUACCCGGGACCUUUGGAUCAGGGAGCCGGAACACUCCACGCAUCGACCGGUAUUGCAUUACCUCCAGGUACGGUGCACGUUCU